UACAAUGCAGGCAACUGCGAUAGGGGAACAUCGAGUGAUACUCAUCUUGGGUGUCUGUCCUCCCGUCUAAAAAACGGGAGUUAGCAAGGGCCGGGCAAGACCGGUGCCAGCCGCCGCGGUAAUACCGGCGGCUCGAGUGGUGGCCGAUAUUAUUGAGUCUAAAGGGUCCGUAGCCGGCUUUGCAAGUCUUUUGGGAAAUCCAGCGGCUUAACCGUUGGUCGUCCGGGAGAUACUACAUUGCUUGGGACUGGGAGAGGUAGGAGGUACUCAGGGGGUAGGAGUGAAAUCCUGUAAUCCUUUGGGGACCACCGGUGGCGAAGGCGUCCUACCAGAACAGGUCCGACGGUGAGGGACGAAAGCUAGGGGCACGAACCGGAUUAGAUACCCGGGUAGUCCUAGCCGUAAACGAUGCUCGCUAGGUGUCACAACAAUCGUGAAUUGUUGUGGUGCCGUAGGGAAGCCGUGAAGCGAGCCACUUGGGAAGUACGACCGCAAGGUUGAAACUUAAAGGAAUUGGCGGGGGAGCAC
rnacentral:rRNA from 1 species